GAUGAACGCUGGCGGCGUGCCUAACACAUGCAAGUCGAACGGAGCUGCUUUGAUGAAGUUUUCGGAUGAUUUAAACAGCUUAGUGGCGGACGGGUGAGUAACGCGUGGGUAACCUGCCUCACACUGGGGGAUAACAGUUAGAAAUAGCUGCUAAUACCGCAUAAGCGCACAGUUCCGCAUGGAACAGUGUGAAAAACUCCGGUGGUGUGAGAUGGACCCGCGUCUGAUUAGCCAGUUGGCGGGGUAACGGCCCACCAAAGCGACGAUCAGUAGCCGGCCUGAGAGGGUGAACGGCCACAUUGGGACUGAGACACGGCCCAAACUCCUACGGGAGGCAGCAGUGGGGAAUAUUGCACAAUGGGGGAAACCCUGAUGCAGCGACGCCGCGUGAGUGAAGAAGUAUUUCGGUAUGUAAAGCUCUAUCAGCAGGGAAGAAAGUGACGGUACCUGAAUAAGAAGCCCCGGCUAACUACGUG
rnacentral:rRNA from 1 species